GAGAAACGAAGUAGUGAUGCAGAGUAAAACUCAAAAAACGGUACUCAGUUCGGAUUGAAGGCUGAAAUUCGCCUUCAUGAAGCUGGAAUUGCUAGUAAUCGCAGAUCAGAAUGCUGCGGUGAAUACGUUCCCGGGUCUUGUACACACCGCCCGUCACACCAUGGGAGUUGGAAAUGCCCGAAGCCAGUGACCCAACCGUAAGGAGGGAGCUGUCGAAGGUGGAGCCGAUGACUGGGGUGAAGUCGUAACAAGGUAAC
rnacentral:rRNA from 1 species